CCUACGGGGGGCAGCAGUGGGGAAUAUUGCACAAUGGGGGGAACCCUGAUGCAGCGACGCCGCGUGGGUGAGGAAGUACUUCGGUAUGUAAAGCCCUAUCAGCAGGGAAGAAAAUGACGGUACCUGACUAAGAAGCCCCGGCUAACUACGUGCCAGCAGCCGCGGUAAUACGUAGGGGGCAAGCGUUAUCCGGAUUUACUGGGUGUAAAGGGAGCGUAGACGGCGUGCCAAGUCUGGUGUGAAAGGCCGGGGCUCAACCCCGGGACUGCAUUGGAAACUGGCAUGCUGGAGUGCAGGAGGGGCAAGCGGAAUUCCUAGUGUAGCGGUGAAAUGCGUAGAUAUUAGGAGGAACACCGGUGGCGAAGGCGGCUUGCUGGACGGUAACUGACGUUGAGGCUCGAAAGCGUGGGGAGCAAACAGGAUUAGAUACCCUAGUAGUC
rnacentral:rRNA from 1 species